AGGGUGGACGAGGCUGCCGAGGCAGACGCGGCAAAGUGGCGAGGCGCCUUGCGGAGAGCAAUCAUGAGACCCAGAAGGAAGCAGCGAACCCGGCUCUCAACUUCGAGAAGCGCCGGGCAGCCUGGGCAAAGCUUCAUCGUUCGG
rnacentral:SRP_RNA from 8 species